ACAUGCAUCUCUCCACCGUGUUCCAUGCGAGGUCAUCUUCCUCCAUCCCCCCUACUCGUAUCCUCUCCAUUCACCCUCUGCAUGAGUGCAUCCACUAUCUUCACCCUCACCAAUGUACAACUUCAUCUGCCGGGCUCCAGGACAUCGUUCCUGACUCCUGGAAGCUUCAUACAUGUAUUUUAAUUCAAUGGCUACCUACUCAUUUUUUGAGGUUGAGUUUUUGUGGGGUUUUUUUGGUUUUAUUUUUGGUACCAGGGUUCAAACUCACGACUGCAUGCUUGCAAGGCAGGUACUUAUGCCACUGAGCUAAAUCUCCUACCUAUCCAUUUGUUAACCUAUACUGUCUUGCUCUCUUAUGUCACUAAGCCAUGUAUUUUUCAUGAAACUAAACUGUUUAUACUUUCUGUGUAGCAUGUACAUUUAUGAUAUACAGUAUUCACCAUGCCUAAUACAUGAUAGUGUUAUAUACAGAAAAUGUUAAAAAGCCACACAGCACCCAAGCUAUUUGCCACAGGAGAGUUCUUGAUCAGAACGGAAGGACCUUCAAACCUUGGUCUGAAAUUGGGGCAUAGCAGAUAGAUAGUGAGAUAGGCAACUCUGGAUGACAUGACAGAAAUCUUUGCCUGCACAAAGCAGAGGAAGUUGAGAGAUUCAACAGAUGGCAUCUCAGAGAGUCCUAGAUAGCUGAGCUAUCUGGCCAUAAACUGAAAUACCACACCCAGCCCUGAAAAGGGAGAAGGAGGAAGUUUCAUAAUCAAUUGGGAAGCCCCGAAUACUACAUACGAAUUUCAAUCUCCCAUCCAUCCUAACGUCCCCCAUGGAGGAUGAGUUCAGCUGCUCUGUUGAGGCACUUAAAGCCUAGGUGGUGGGGAGAGCUCCAAAGUCUGUGCUUUCUAGCCAUUUGAAGAAGGUUUCCCCUGUUUAGCAUUAAAAACUAUAGUGCUGGUGAUGUAUACUGCUUCAGUAAUCUACAACUCCUGAGUUGGAUCUCUAGCAUUGCCAAAAAUAAAACAAAAGUAAAGCCAAACAAAACCUGUUAAAGCUAUCUUUUAACUCCAAGAAGGAUAAACAUGUAAUGCUCAAGAAUCAGUGGAGAAGGAACUCAUAGUUGUCUAAAUAUGGCAUAUAUGUAAAAGUAACAAUAUAAAAGUAAAAUAUAGUUUAGAUGGUGACAAAUUUUUUCUGUGAAAGGCCAGCAGUCAUUAAUUCUGGUUUUGUAGUCUGUACAUUCUUUUGUCAAAACUAGUCCAGUCCUGCUUCAAUAAUUAAAAAAUGAAUCCUCAGGUGAGGCUUCAUACACUCAAAGCAGAGUAUAUAAAAGUCAGGUAACACCUUUACAAAUCAGAAUGUCAAAGCAAAGAGACUGUAUUAGUGGCAGUCAUGCUUUAUAUGGAAAGAAAACCUAUAGCAAAUAAUAGGUAAAUUAAUAGCAGAUCUUUUGAAAUCAACAGGAAAAUGGUUAAAUUAAAGCCUCAAUUUUCUGACUUUAAAUAAAUUUGAUUGUUAUUGUUUAUUCAAGUGAAAUAUUAUUCUGAAGUUAGGAAACUCCCAGGUUUUAAAGGAGAACAUAAUUAAAAUAAUGUAGUUAAGCAAACAAAGAUUGAAAGUAGGACCAACAAUAAGCACAAGAUUUGGUGGAAAAUGGUGAAUGUGUAUCAUUCAAAAUAAAACAUACUGAAUAUAAAAUUAUAAUGGUAACCAUUAGAAGAGCAGAACAUGUUUCUAAGUUACAAUCUAGUGGGUUAUCAAGAUAAAAUUUAAAUAUUAAAUGUAAGUUAUUAAAUAUAAAAUAAAAUAUUCUAGAUUGGACUUAAUAAUGUAAUUCUAAAAGUCUUCCUUAAGUCACAAGGAAAUAUGCAUCCUGAACACAAAAGUAAGAAAAAUUAUGCAAAGCAAAUAGCAAGUAAUAAUUAGUUUGGGUAGUCAUACACUUAGCUGGUAAAAAAUUUGCAUAUAAAGCAACAGAACAGAAUCAUAAAAGAUAUUAAUAAAAGUGAGAAAGUGGAUGUGCUGAGACAUAGUGCAGUUUUUUAAAUGAUAAUAAUGCUGAUGAAUUAAAAGCUUUGAAGAGAUAAGCAGUUUUGCAGAAAAACAAAUUCAUGGGAAAUGGAAAUACUGAAAUAUUCAUGAUUUUAAACAAUGUGUGUAUUUUAAAAGUUUCUUUUCCCUUCUCAAAAAAUGCAAAAGCAAAACUAAGAAAGCAUAAGGUAAAUAUUUUCACAAAUAAACAACUAAAAAUCCAAGAAAAAAUGUAAUCAUGAGGGUAUACAAACACUUCUAGGGAAAAGAAGAAGGGACUGCAAUGGCCAACACAUAACGUAAGAGCAAUAACUUUGAUAACAAAAACAAGCAAGAGCCAUUAGGAAAGAAAAUUUCCAGCCAAAUUUACUCAUGAACCUAUCUGGCAAAAUAACAAAAUACUUCAAAAUGGCAAGUGACAAAAUGCAAAUUACAUCUAAAUUGCUAAAAUGAUUGAAUAUUGCAAAAGCUAUGAACUAAAUACUUUCUGCAUUAUAGCAGGGAAUAAAUAUACAUCUGGCAAUAAAAACUGAAAAAAUCAUUGGUUAAAUUUUAACACUUUAUACAAUUUGUAAAAAGCAAUUUCAGCAACAGAAGACUAUUACUAUAUAAAUGGCCCUCCACAAAGCUAAGACUUAUGAGUAAUGUAUGAGAAGGAUUUCUUUAACAGUUAUAAAGGAAAGAUGGUUGUUACCACCUUUUUGAUUCAAUCGUAUACUAAACAUCCUAAACUAGGAGUUAGAUGAAAAGAAAGAAAAAAUCCUGAAAAGGAGAUUUUAGGACAAAAUAAAGAGAAAAGAAGUGCAUAUUCACAACAUUUCAUAUAAGUUUCACAAAAAAUGAGUUAUUAAAUAUUUUAAAAGGGUAUGGUAAAGUUUUGCUGAAAAAUCAUACAUCUGUUAAUGAAAGUAGAGAGAUAAGCUAUAUCCCCUGGACCAAUAUAUCUUAAUUCUUUUCCCCCCACCCCCUCCUCUCCCUUCAGUCCCUCUUCCUCUCCUUAUUUACAAAAGCUUUGUUUCCAUUUUUCUCUUCAAUUCACCCCCCCAUUCACCUUCCCAGCUAAACAUUUUACUUCCUCUUUCCCAGUAUUUGUUAUACAUUUUGGUCCUUAUUUACUCUUUAAGGAUCAAAAUAUAUAACAAUUCAAUAUUUAAAUGUGUGUCUAAUUUAUUUCACUAAAUACUAUGGUGUCAAGUGCAUCCAUUUAUCCAGAAAUGUCUCAAGUUUAUCUUUGUUUAUGGCAGAGUAGUACUCCAUUGUAUUUUUAAAAAUAGACAUCUUCUGUAUCCAUUCAUCUAUUGAUGGGCACUGGGGCUGUUUUCAAGACUUAGUUGUUAUAGACUUGCUGCUAUAAACAUGGGUGUGCAUUUAUUACUGUAGUAUGAUGUUUUUAAUUCUUUUGGGAAGAUACCAAGAAGAAAAAUAGCUGGAUCAAAUGAAACCUCUGAUUCUAGGAAUUUUGAGAAAUAUCCACACUGAUUUCCACAGUGGUUAAUACUCUCACCAACAGAGGACAAGAGUUUCUCUCCACUGCCCCAACAGCAUUUGGUGUUGGUUGAUAUCUUGAUAACAACCAUUCUUUCUGGAGUGAAAUGGAAUCAGCAUUGUUUUAAUUUGCAUCUCUCGAAUAAAGAGUUAUGUUGAAUAUUGUUUGAUAUUCAACUGAGACAUGUCCAUUCAUUGCAGAUGCCCAUUUUUUAUUGUGUCUUUAGAUUUGGAGAAAUCUGGUUUUGUUAGUUCUUUUUAUAUUCUAGAUAUUAGUCCUUUGUCUGAGGAACAACUGGAAAAAUUUUUCUCACUCUGUGGGUUGUCUUUUCACUCUAUUGGUGGUUUCUUUUGCUGUGCAAAGCUUUAUAAUGAGAUGAGAUCCCAGCUGUUGCUUCUUUCUAAAAUUUUCUGUGUGAUCACGGUUUUAUUCACAAAGUGUUUGCCUACACCAGUGUCUUCGUGGGUUCCAUCUAUUCUAUUAUCCAGCUGAUACAGUGUUUCUGUUUUAAUAUUUAGAUAUUUGAUCCAUUUCAAUUUUAGGUUAGUGCAAGGUGAAGAAAUACUCAGUAUUUUCUUAGAUUAUCUUUUCAGAAAACCUAUAGAUGAACUACAGUCUAGUAAGAUAGUUCAAGGAAUUUGUGGGUUGAUUCUAAAAUUUAUAUAAAAUAAUAAAUGAUCAAGAAUUGUUUAUUUUCAGUAACAACAACUGACUUGUCCCAGCUCAUAUCUAAACAUACAUGGUUUUCAUAAUUAAUAUAAAAUUGGAUUGGUGCAUGAACAAACUAGUGAAACACAAUAGAGUGUUCUUAACUACCUAUAUAGAUAGGAAAAUUUAUUCAAUGGAAUGAUGGGAUUACAGAUUGUUGGCUAAAGAAUACACCAUAUAAGUGAAAUAAGCCAGGCACAGAAAGACAAUGCUGUAUGAUUUCAUUUAUACAUGGAAUUUGAAAUACUUAAUUCUCAUUAGGAGAACAGAGUAGAAAGAUGAUUACUAAGGGAUGGGGUUUGCAAGGGAAAGAUGGAGGAAGGGAAGAUGCUAAUCAAAAGAUACAAAGUCUCAGCUUUUAUCUAUUGCACCAAAUACUGACUGUAGUAAAUAAUGAUGUGUGUUUUCAAAUAUCUAAAAGAAUAUAUUGAAAUACAUACAUACUCACACAAAGUAAGUACUCAUCCAAUUGCACUUGCCAGGCAGGUGCUUAAAGUGCUGAGAUAAUCCCCAGCCCUAAGUUAAUUGUUUUUAUUGCAUUGCUUACAAUGUAUAGAUUGAAAUAUCACAUUGUACUCUAUAAAUAUUAUGUGUCAGUUGAAAGGAAAACAAUUUUAAAAAGAAAACUCAAGAAGUAGCAUAUUAUUGCAAGACCAUACAAUAAGAGAAAUUUUUUCAAAUUAACUUUUCAAAUACUCCUAGAUCCUAAGACAAUAUUGGGAAACCUCCUGGUACUUAAUGAACUCUCUGAAUCUUGGAUGAACCCAAAGUACUUUAGCAUAUCUCUUAUAAUGCAAAUUUCCUAUGAAGAAGUGACCAUGUUGUUAUAAGGUUAUUGUGGAGAACAGCUAAACCUGGAGAUCAUUCACAUAUGUGGAACACCUAAGGUCAACAAUAACAAAAACUGUUCCAGCUCCAAGAACACAGAGAACUGGAAGCAAUCCAGACAGGUUGCUACAUGGAGGGAUGCCCCUGACAUCAACCUGCUGAAUGUAUAAAUAAAUGUGCUACAGUCAUUGAGCAGUUCCUUUCACUCAUCCAGAGAGAAGGCUCCACCUGAUCUCAGCUUUCUGUUUCCUGAUUCUUGUCUUUAUUUCUUAAUCCUCUAUCACCCUUCACUCCAAGAAUUUUGAGAGCUGCACUGAAUGUGGCAUAUUGGUGUCUGAACAUGGACUUGGAGUAUGAAGAAAUAGCGGGUAAUGGAACACCUCUGAAAGAGUGUGUAUGAACAAAAACAGGCUCAAGAGAGCAUAGAGGAAAGAGGUAUAUUGAUACUGAUUUCAUCAGGUUUAAAACACGGGAUGAUACUAUUUCCUCCAAGAAAAUAGCUUCCUUACAUGUGUAUUAUAGCAAACCUACAACGUGGCUUACUAAAUGUGUUUUUUUAUCCAUUUUCCCUAACUGAUAUGUUAAGUGACCUAAUUGAUAUGUUUGGCAAUACUCUCCUCUGUAAAGAAUUGCAAGAAUCUCACAUAAUUGAUAUGUUAACCAUUGUUGCCCUCUACAAACUACAGAAAUUGUACUAAAACAAGCUAACAAGGGUUGUUUAUCACUGUUAGGCGCCUCUAUUCUCCACUAAAGAGCUAAAGAAAACUGGGAUGGCCCACUAAUUUACACUUGUUUGAAGUAACUUGCUUGUGUGCAGAGAGAUUUGCGUAUGAGUUUAACCCUUUACCUGACCUUGAUUCCCUUCCCAGAAAGGCGCCUUCUCCCCUUACUUAUCUAUCUAGGCUAGGCCAUAAAGAAUUUGGGUUUCUGGUGACCUCUUCCCAACCUGGUAAUGAUCUGUCAUAAAAUGAGCCUGCCCCAAUUUUAAGAAUUGUGUAGCUUCAUAGAAAUUACCGGGAAAUACUAUGGCCCAAACCCCAAUCGGUGCUUUCCUUUUGUUCUGUAUGCAUCAAAUGAAUUAGAUAUCAGAUCUUUGUAAAACUUAAGUUUCAGCUUCUGGUAACUCUUGAAACCUUUGCACCCACUAGUGAAAAUGAGCUGUCCUGGGAUAAUUAACUCUCCACUUUCUUCUCCAAAUAUUGCUGCAGAUGUGCCACUCUGAGCUAAUGUCAGUCUGUAGGAUGGGAGUAAUAUGAGAAACACCAGGAACUCCCGAGAUUGUCAGAGCUAAGUGGACAACAAUACAGUUUCCAGAUUCGGGUCAACAAGUUUAUGGCUCUGCAGGUUUCUUUGUUUCUCCCCCCACCCCUUUUCCUCCAGCUUCUUUUUAAAGUCCUCCCUUCAGUCUCUAGCACACAGUCUCCAAAUUAGCUCCUGGAGACUCGUCGCCAAGCCUGGAAAUAAAGCCUUUGCUACCUAAAUUGUCGGUCUCUUGCUUUCUUGGAUUUUAUACCGGGGCCUGAGUUAUAACAAUUUGUAAAUAGAGAGGCUUGUUGUACUGUUAUUUCUGUAUUCACUUUUUUCUGUGGACUUGGAUUAGGGAGUGUCUUCAUGGUCAUACACUCAUGGAGAUGACCAUCGAGGAUUUUGGCUCAGAGCACUAUUUUAAAACUAAGUCCUGAGCAGAAAAAAGAUUGUGGGGCAACAGCCUUAUCCCCACCAGCUUAGGCCCUCUUGCUUUGCUCAAUCAUAUAGGGAAGGAGCUGUGGGGGACAAGAAAGGCCUUUCCCCAUUAGAGUGUUUCACUUAGGCUUUGGUUUUAUAGCCACCCAAGGUAAAAUUGAUAACCUUAACUGAACCACAAGCAUAUAAUUCUCCCUUUUCAGUUCAGAGAAAUUUUGCUGCAUCACAGGUUGAAAUUUUCAUCUUCCUCCCUUGCAAAUGCUGCUAGAGCAGCCCAAUGUGAAAAGGCGCCCAUGGAGGGAUUUCAGCAUAUCUACUCUGUUACUGAACUCCAAGGCCCCAAAUAAUACAUCUUCAUGAAGCUAUGCACUUUAAGACAUUAAAAAGAGUUAAAAUAAGCUGCCAUUAUCUAUGGCCCCAUGGGCCCUUUUACUUUCGGUUUAAUAGAGCUCCUAUGACUACAUAUUAUAACCCAAAUGAUUGGAAAAAAUAGCUAAAGCAUAUUUGAGUUUGGGAGAUUAUUUAUUGUGGAAGGAAAUGUUGUUGAUUUGUAUACAGAUCAGGGUACUUACACAGCCAGCUCAGUGCAGCACAAUACCAUUAAGGGGCAUGGGCCAAGCAGAGAGAGGGCCCUUUGCUCUGGCCCUAGGCAGACUUAUUCAGGGUCUCAGGCCCUUUGUGUGCCCCACUCAGUUUAGACCCCAGGAGCCAUACCAGCCCAAAUUGUAGGAGAAAAAAGUUUUUUUUUUUUUUAAGGCAGCCAUAGCUGAGCAUUUAGCUCAGUGGCAUAAGCGCCUGCCUUGCAAAAGUGGGGUUGUGAGUUUGAUCCCACACCAUAUUAAAAAAAAAAAGGCAGCCAUGACUGCAGAGGCAAUGACUGUAGUGUCCUCUAGGAAGUGGGGCAUGAGCAAACCCAGCCUGGGCUGGAGCCCAUCCUGACAGUGUGGCAGGCACUGAUUCCCUCCUGUCCAUCAACACCAAAACAUCGGUGCCAAACUGUGAGGCUUAGGGGCAGCAGUCUUCCCCUCAGGACGAUAAGCCAUUACAACUGUUGCUACCAUGGGAGAUCACCUGUAGUCCUGAGGCAGCAGGGUGGGAGCUACAGAGUUGGAAGCAGCCCUGGGUACCCAAAUAAAGGAUACAUGGUUUUAGUUUCUUCUUCCCCAAAAGCCAGAUUAUAGGCUUUUUAAUGGGCCUUGCAAGAUUUUAUAUCCAUUCCAAUUAACCUCUUUUCAGAUGGAUGUUAUGUUUGUGGUGUGAUGAGCCAUGUCAAAAUUGCCACUACAGGCUGGAACUGAGAGAAGCCAACCCACAAGCCAACUAACCAGCCUUUUUAGUGAGCUGUGCAAGCCAUGUGGGGCCCAGAAGGAGAAAAGUCAACACCUCUGCUGAGCCUACUGGCACACGGGCUGAGACUCACACUCCCAUCCCCCACCCUGGUAAGCAACAAUCUGGUUUGGAGGACAAAUGGAAUUGGUGGCAACUGAAGUACAAGGAGUAGCUGAGUGCUUGUAUUGUUUGGUUGACUUUGCAAUCCUGGGGCCAGUGGUCUGAGCAUCUAUAGGGAGGAUAACAGUGUGCAGUGUAGAAAAUAUGGGAGAUUUCUUUGUAUCUUGUUUUUGAAGUCCAAUAUUGUUCUCACUGUUUUGUUCUGAUUGUUUUGCUUUAUUCAAUAUUCUGUUUUGAUUGUUUUUAUUCUGUUUUGUUUGGGCUUGAUUUUGCUAUAUCUGAUGGAAUGGACAACUAUUGUGAAAAUAACAAGAUGUACUAUUGUAGCAACUGUUGUUUUCCUAUUGUCCUGGUUUGAAGUUCUGUACCAAUUUCACUGCUUGGUUUUGACUGGAUUUAUUCCAUUUUGUUUGUUGGGUUUUAUUAUCUUUGACAUAAAAUAAAAAGUAAAAUAAAAUUGGCACAACACA